rnacentral:rRNA from 1 species
GCAUAUCAAUAAGCGGAGGAAAAGAAAAUAACAAUGAUUCCCCUAGUAACUGCGAGUGAAGAGGGACAAGCUCAAAUUUUAAAUCUAUCGGGUUUUACCUGAUCGAGUUGUAAUUUGAAGAGGCGUUUUCUGCGUAUUUGGUCAGCCCAAGUCCUAUUGAAUGAGGCAUCAUGGAGGGUGAUAAUCCCGUCCGGUUGAUCAUUUGCGUUUUACGAUACGCUUUCUAAGAGUCAAGUUGUUUGGGAUUGCAGCUUAAAAUGGGAGGUAAAUUUCUCCUAAGGCUAAAUAACGGCGAGAGACCGAUAGCGAACAAGUACCGUGAGGGAAAGAUGAAAAGAACUUUGAAAAGAGAGUUAAAUAGUACGUGAAAUUGUUGAAAGGGAAACGAUUGAAGCCAGUCGUACCUUCGGGUAAUCAGCCUUUUGGGUAUGAUUUUGUGGAGCGUGAGGAGUUAAACGCCUUCAUGCCUGCAUAUUCGUGCACUUUGGGUGUACUUGCCCGUGUGGUUGGUUAACAUCAAUUUUGGUUAUCAUAAAAUGACUGGAGGAAUGUAGCUUCGAUCUCGUAUUGAAGUGUUAUAGCCUUCGGUAGAUGUGAUGAUCGAGAUUGAGGAUUGCAACGGAUACCCUUCGGGGCUACCUGUCUGGUCUCUGAUCGUUGCUUUGGUGCCGAAAGCUUGCUUACGGUUAUCAAAGUCGAUGGUCAAUAGGUUAGAACGGGUUAAAUUCGUUAAGGAUGUUGACGUA